ensembl:processed_transcript 9130024F11Rik RIKEN cDNA 9130024F11 gene
CUGGAGAGAAAGGGCUGAGGACUGGGAGGCUGCGGCGGCUGCUGGCUCCUACAGCCGCUAGCUCCAGAGGAGGCGCGGCCAGAGUCGCGGGGACGUUGCCACCAAGAGCGGGGAAGGUGCGGAGACCCCGGACCGCGCGCAAGAGAAAACGCGGCGGCCGCACAAGCUGUCACCUCCAACCUCUCCCCUCGCGGCUGCCUCUGCCAGAAGCCAGAGCCGGACUCACUGACAAGCCGCAGAGAGAAAGACACUGAGAGGGAGAUGAUUAUUAGUUGCGUUGAGUCAUCAGGCAAAGACCCCAAGGACUCGGCUUCCACCGGUUGCCUGAGCCACUAGUCCCCCUUAAGAAGUAUUGACUGUACGGCGGCGCCAGAGGGCCAAACUAAAUUCGGUUUCGGGAAACGCGCUCGAGGCAAUUCUCUAAAUCCUGGCCUUGAGCUGGGCCAGUGGAGAUUGAAUCUGAGAGUAGCGCUGGAGACUGGGCUGCUGUCCACUUGCUUGGUAGCCUACCCCCUUG